rnacentral:rRNA from 1 species
GAGUUUGAUCGUGGCUCAGGACGAACGCUGGCGGCGUGCUUAACACAUGCAAGUCGAGCGAGGCCCUCCUUCGGGGGGUGCCCUAGCGGCGAACGGGUGGGUAACACGUGGGCAACCUGCCCUCAGCUCUGGGAUAACUCCAAGAAAUUGGUGCUAAUACCGGAUGUGACCGCUGACCGCAUGGUCUGGUGGUGGAAAGAUUCAUCGGCUGAGGAUGGGCCCGCGGCCUAUCAGCUUGUUGGUGGGGUAAUGGCCCACCAAGGCGACGACGGGUAGCCGGCCUGAGAGGGUGACCGGCCACACUGGGACUGAGACACGGCCCAGACUCCUACGGGAGGCAGCAGUGGGGAAUAUUGCGCAAUGGGCGAAAGCCUGACGCAGCGACGCCGCGUGAGGGAUGACGGCCUUCGGUUGUAACC